GAUGAACGCUGGCGGCGUGCUUAACACAUGCAAGUCGAACGGAAAGGCUCCUGCUUGCUGGGGUACUCGAGUGGCGAACGGGUGAGUAACACGUGGGUGAUCUGCCCUGCACUUCGGGAUAAGCCUGGGAAACUGGGUCUAAUACCGGAUAGGACCACAUUUUGGAUGGUGUGGUGGAAAGUUUUUCGGUGUGGGAUGAGCUCGCGGCCUAUCAGCUUGUUGGUGGGGUAAUGGCCUACCAAGGCGUCGACGGGUAGCCGGCCUGAGAGGGUGUACGGCCACAUUGGGACUGAGAUACGGCCCAGACUCCUACGGGAGGCAGCAGUGGGGAAUAUUGCACAAUGGGCGGAAGCCUGAUGCAGCGACGCCGCGUGGGGGAUGACGGCCUUCGGGUUGUAAACUCCUUUCGCUAGGGACGAAGCGCGAGUGACGGUACCUGGAGAAGAAGCACCGGCUAACUACGUG
rnacentral:rRNA from 1 species